CAGUCGCCGCGGUAAUACGGAGGGUGCAAGCGUUAAUCGGAAUUACUGGGCGUAAAGCGCACGCAGGCGGUUUGUUAAGUCAGAUGUGAAAUCCCCGAGCUUAACUUGGGAACUGCAUUUGUGACUGGCAAGCUAGAGUCUGGCAGAGGGGGGUGGAAUUCCGCGUGUAGCAGUGAAAUGCGUAGAUAUGCGGAGGAACACCGAUGGCGAAGGCGGCCCCCUGGACAAAGACUGACGCUCAGGUGCGAAAGCGUGGGGAGCAAACAGGAUUAGAUACCCCUGUAGUCCCUGUCUCUUAUAC
rnacentral:rRNA from 1 species